GAUGAACGCUGGCGGCAGGCCUAACACAUGCAAGUCGAACGGCAGCAGAGUGAGAGCUUGUUCUUUCGGGUGGAGAGGCGAGCGGGGGUGAGACACAUAUCCAACUUUCCUUUUUCGUGGGGGCUAACGUAGGGAACCCUACGUUAUACCUCCUUACGUCUUACGGGUGCAUGCAUGGGAUCUUCGGACUUUGCGCGAUUUUAUGAGUCGUUGUCGGAUUUGCUGGUUGGCGGGGUAAAGGCCCACCAAGGCGACGAUCCGUAGAUGGUCUGAGAGGAUGAUCAGCCACACUGGAACGGAGACACGGCCCAGACUCCAACGGGAGGCAGCAGUGGGGAAUAUUGGACAAGGGGCGCAAGCCUAAUCCAGACAUACCGCGUGGGGGAAGAAGGCCUUCGGGUUGUAAAGCCCUUUUGCUGGGAAGGAAGAGCAGCAGGUGAAUACCCUGCUGGAUUGACGGUACCCAAAGAAUAAGCACCGGCUAACUUCGUG
rnacentral:rRNA from 1 species